UAGGGUCUGUUCUGUGUCCUCC
rnacentral:miRNA from 1 species